rnacentral:rRNA from 1 species
AGGACGAACGCUGGCGGCGUGCUUCACACAUGCAAGUCGAACGGGGCUCAUUCGGUGGUAACACCGGAGAAGGCCUAGUGGCGAACGGGUGCGUAACACGUGAAGAACCUGCCCCGAAGACUGGGAUAACAGCGGGAAACCGCUGCUAAUACCGGAUGACCCCACCAGGCCGCAUGGCCAGGUGAGGAAAUGGGCCUACCGCUUCGGGAGGGCUUCGCGGCCUAUCAGCUUGUUGGUGGGGUAACGGCCUACCAAGGCUACGACGGGUAGCUGGUCUGAGAGGACGACCAGCCACACUGGGACUGAGACACGGCCCAGACUCCUACGGGAGGCAGCAGUGGGGAAUCUUGCGCAAUGGGCGAAAGCCUGACGCAGCAACGCCGCGUGAGGGAUGAAGGUCUUCGGGUUGUAAACCUCUUUCGAGCAGGGACGAUUGUGACGGUACCUGCAGAAGAAGCUCCGGCCAACUACGUGCCAGCAGUCGCGGU